UAACUGCAACAGCUCUCAGUAUU
rnacentral:piRNA from 1 species